ACGAAGGAUCCAAGCGUUAUCCGGAUUCAUUGGGUUUAAAGGGUGCGUAGGCGGAUUUGUAAGUCAGUGGUGAAAGCCGAUAGCUCAACUAUCGAACUGCCAUUGAUACUGCAGAUCUAGAAUAUAGAUGAUGUUGGCGGAAUAUGACAUGUAGCGGUGAAAUGCAUAGAUAUGUCAUAGAACACCGAUUGCGAAGGCAGCUGACAAAACUAUUAUUGACGCUGAUGCACGAAAGUGCGGGGAUCAAACAGGAUUAGAUACCCUGGUAGUCCGCACAGUAAACGAUGAUAACUAGUUGUUUGCGAUAUACAGUAAGCGACCAAGCGAAAGCGAUAAGUUAUCCACCUGGGGAGUACGCCGGCAACGGUG
rnacentral:rRNA from 1 species